rnacentral:lncRNA from 1 species
GAACAUAUUGUUGCUACCUGCAAAGCCUGUCAAUUAACAAAUGCCACCCACAAUAGGGCCAACCCAGAAAAUAGGCUGAGGGGAAGCCGACCUGGAGCCUAUUGGGAAUUGGACUUCACCAAGGUAAAACCUGGAAGCCUCCAAAGUGUGCACGAGGAUAUCUGGCCUAAAUUAAAAGCCUUAUAUCAAACUGGACCGCCUCCCGAGCCCCAUCGCUAUCGACCAGGAGACUGGGUCUUCGUCCAGAGACACCGACAAAGGGACCUUGAGCCCCGUUGAAAAGGACCCUACGUCACAGUCCUGACCACGCCCACCACUCUCAAGGUCGAGAUCCUCACGCUGUCCUAGAGGACUUCGUUCCAUCAUGGCAGGUGUCCAAAGACCAAGACAAUCCCCUCAAACUCAAGCUGCGUCGUCGAAGGUCAUGAUUGUGGUAACUGUACUUUUGACACUGAUUUUAGGAGGACAGAACCCACAUGCUCCCCUAAAUUUAACCUGGAUGAUCAUCAGUACCGCCACAGGUGACAUUAUUAACAGCUCGUCCAAAGUGAGCCCACCAUUAACCUGGUGGCCUGCUCUAGAGUUUGAUCUCUGUCGGCUAGCCACUGGCAGCUGGGAUAUCGGACACUGGAGCCUAGAGUCACGGGGAAGGCCUGAAUGUGGGGAAACAAAAAAGGGGUGUACCCUCCCCCCCGGUCGAUUCACGAACACCGGGCUGCAACCAUGUAAUUCGCAGGGCAAUAUUACGAGACACCCCCUUCUACAGGGAGGACUCUGCGUUGCCUUAGGUAAAGAAUGUUGCUUCUAUGUAGAUCAUUCAGGAGUGGUCAAAGAGUCCAUGGCUAAAGUUAGGGAAGACAUCGCCAAACGUAAGCGAAAAAGA